rnacentral:lncRNA from 1 species
GGGCACAGGAUGGGGAGGGGAAGAAAAAGAGGGCUCCACGGGAGCAGACAGAAUUACCUCCUGGAUAGCACUUAGGAAAUCAUCUAAUCCAACCCCUUGCAUUACAUUUGAGGAAACUGAGGCACAGAGAGGAGAUGGGUCUCCAUGGUGGUAGAGGGCUUUUAAUCUCCACCCCAUAAACACACCAGCCAUCAAGGAGCAGGAAACAUGGAGCGUGUGGUCCACGUGGGAUGCUUUUCACCAUAGCAGAGAAAUGUCUCCAUACAAUUCAUUCCUAAAGCAACAGAC